rnacentral:snoRNA from 1 species
AUCCCUUUUGGUUCAAAAGUGAUUACUGGGUGUUUAUAUCAUUAUGUGACACACGCCUCCUUCAACCCUCAUUAUUGACAUUAUGACAUUUUUCCAUCUGACA